UCCUACUUUUCCAGGAAGAAAGACAGGAUGUCAAAAUGAUGGCCUUUUUCUACCUGAAAAAUUGACUACACGAGGACUUGCUAUAUUCCUUGGACUGCUAGAAAGCCACAACACCCUCUAUCUGAAGGGCUGGGUGGAAGCUACUCCCAAGAGCCCGUUGAUAUCUGCUGGCAAAGCCACCCGAGCAAGUCACGCCAAUCAUGCUCUGUUGUAAACGGUAAGGAGAACAAGCAAGAAAGCUGAAUGUUGCUGUCCUUCCCAUUGGCUUGCAAGAGCAAGAGGAGAUGAGAUGUGAGAGAAGGAGAAAGGAGUGUAUCGGUGUCAAACAAGGAGGUUUAUUGGUACGAAUUCCUGAGUCUAAAGAGCUGAACUCUAUCUUGGCCAUUGAAAUCACUGGGGAUGAUUUGAAAAGACUGAUAUCCGGACCCCUCCCCCAUAACUUAAUGUGUGUGGAGAUAGA